UAAUCUCAAAUACUUCUAAUCUUAAAUGUCCCUAAUCUAUAAUGUUUCUAAUCUCAAAUACCUCUAAUCUCAAAUGUCAUACUUCUAAUCUCAAAUAUCUCUAAUCUCAAAUGCCCAUAAUUUAGAAUGCCCAUAAUCUUAAGUGUCUCUAAUUUCAAAUACCCCUAAUCUCAAAUGCCCAUAAUCUAGAAUACCUCUAAUCUUAAGUGCCUCUAAUCUUAAGUGCCUCUAAUCUAGAAUGCCCCUAAUCUCAAAUACACCUAAUCUCAAAUGCCCCUAAUCUCAAAUGCCCAAUGCCCUUAGUCUCAAAUAUCCCUAAUCCCAAAUGUCCAUAAUCUAGAAUGCCCCUAAUCUCAAAUACCCAUAAUCUUAAAUACCCCUAAUCUAGAAUGCCCCUAAUCUCAAAUACCCCUAAUCCCAAAUGCCCUUAAUCUCAAAUGCCCUUAAUCUUAAAUACCCCUAAUCCCAAAUGUCCAUAAUCUAGAAUGCCCCUAAUCUCAAAUACCCAUAAUCUUAAAUACCCCUAAUCUAGAAUGCCCCUAAUCUCAAAUACCCCUAAUCCCAAAUGCCCCUAAUCUCAAAUGCCCUUAAUCUUAAAUACCCCUAAUCUAGAAUGCCCCUAAUCUAGAAUGCCCCUAAUCUAGAAUACCCCUAAUCCCAAAUACCCCUAAUCUAGAAUGCCCCUAAUCUCAAAUACCUCUAAUCCCAAAUGCCCCUAAUCUCAAAUGCCCAAUCUCAAAUACCCCUAAUCCCAAAUGCCCCUAAUCUCAAAUGCCCUUAGUCUCAAAUAUCCCUAAUCCCAAAUGUCCAUAAUCUAGAAUGCCCCUAAUCUCAAAUACCCCUAAUCUCAAAUGCCCCUAAUCUCAAAUGCCCAUAAUCUCAAAUACUCAUAAUCUAGAAUGCCCCUAAUCUCAAAUACCCCUAAUCUCAAAUACCCAUAAUCUAGAAUGUCUCUAAUCUCAAAUGCUCCUAAUCCCAAAUGCCCAUAAUCUAAAAUGUCCCUAAUCUAGAAUAUCACUAAUCUUAAAUGCUCAUAAUCUCAAAUAUCAUAAUCUCAAAUGCCCCUAAUCUAGAAUGCCCUAAUCUCAAAUGUCUCAUGCUCCUAAUCCCAAAAUGUUUCUAAUCUCAUAUGCCACUAAUUUCAAAUACACCUAAUCUUAAAUGUCCCUAAUCCCAAAAUGUUCCUAAUCUCAAAUACCCAUAAUCCCAAAUGCCACUUAUAUCAAUUACCCCUAAUCCAAUAUAAUCCUAAUACCAAAUGCAUCUACUCUCAUAUACCCCUCAAUCAUCCCUAAUCCACAAUAUCCUUAAUCC
rnacentral:lncRNA from 1 species